rnacentral:rRNA from 1 species
UACGUAGGGUGCGAGCGUUGUCCGGAAUUAUUGGGCGUAAAGAGCUCGUAGGCGGUCUGUCGCGUCGAUCGUGAAAACUUGGGGCUUAACCCUGAGCUUGCGGUCGAUACGGGCAUGACUGGAGUUCGGCAGGGGGAGACUGGAAUUCCUGGUGUAGCGGUGAAAUGCGCAGAUAUCAGGAGGAACACCGGUGGCGAAGGCGGGUCUCUGGGGCCGAUACUGACGCUGAGGAGCGAAAAGCGUGGGGAGCGAACAGG